CCUACGGUGUGGCAGCAGUGGGGAAUAUUGGACAAUGGGCGAAAGCCUGAUCCAGCCAUGCCGCGUGUGUGAAGAAGGCCUUCGGGUUGUAAAGCACUUUCAGUGGGGAAGAAAGCCUUGGGGCUAAUACCCUCGAGGAAGGACAUCACCCACAGAAGAAGCACCGGCUAACUCCGUGCCAGCAGCCGCGGUAAUACGGAGGGUGCGAGCGUUAAUCGGAAUUACUGGGCGUAAAGCGCGCGUAGGCGGUCUGAUAAGCCGGUUGUGAAAGCCCCGGGCUCAACCUGGGAACGGCAUCCGGAACUGUCAGGCUAGAGUGCAGGAGAGGAAGGUAGAAUUCCCGGUGUAGCGGUGAAAUGCGUAGAGAUCGGGAGGAAUACCAGUGGCGAAGGCGGCCUUCUGGACUGACACUGACGCUGAGGUGCGAAAGCGUGGGUAGCAAACAGGAUUAGAUACCCGGGUAGUC
rnacentral:rRNA from 1 species